rnacentral:rRNA from 2 species
UUUGGAGAGUUUGAUCCUGGCUCAGGACGAACGCUGGCGGCGUGCCUAAUACAUGCAAGUCGAGCGGAGCUUAUCCUUCGGGGUAAGCUUAGCGGCGGACGGGUGAGUAACACGUAGGCAACCUACCCUCUAGACUGGGAUAACUACCGGAAACGGUAGCUAAUACCGGAUAAUUCCUUCACCCUCCUGGGCGAGGGAUGAAAGGCGGAGCAAUCUGCUACUAGAGGAUGGGCCUGCGGCGCAUUAGCUAGUUGGUGGGGUAAUGGCCUACCAAGGCGACGAUGCGUAGCCGACCUGAGAGGGUGAACGGCCACACUGGGACUGAGACACGGCCCAGACUCCUACGGGAGGCAGCAGUAGGGAAUCUUCCGCAAUGGGCGAAAGCCUGACGGAGCAACGCCGCGUGAGUGAUGAAGGUUUUCGGAUCGUAAAGCUCUGUUGCCAGGGAAGAACGUCCGGUAGAGUAACUGCUACC